rnacentral:sRNA from 1 species
GUGAGAAAGAUGGAGAAGGGCCAUAUGGAAGGGAAGGGGUAGAAGGGCUAGGGAGGAGACUAGAAGGUUUCCCACUGACUGUCCUAAUUGUGGCAGGUAAGUCUUGACACCAAUAUGUUAUUCCCAGUUGUAGACUAUUCCUAGUGAAACACCAUGAACUCCCUGGGUGCCUCUUGGGGUUGAGUGUAGCCAGAAGGCAAGGGAAAGGGAGCCAAGUGUAGACAGGAGAAGUCUGGGCCAUGUGGACACUGAGGUCAUGCCUGAACCUGGGCUGCAUCCCGGGGAAGGCUGUUGGGAACACAGGGUCAGGGGCUCUGCAAUCACACACUGGGCUGGGAGGCAGAGGGGAAGCUAGGAAGAAUUAACCUCUUCUCUACUUUCUGCUGCCUAGGACAAGGUUUUCCCAGACUCAGAAGCAAGUGGGAGCCUGCCUGCCAGAACCUUCUAGAUCAAGUGCUCAGCCUGCUGACGACACUCGGAGAGUGGGAAUCAGAGGAAGAGAGAACCAAAGACCCUGCUUCUAAACGCAUCGAGAUUGGUUGCUGGGACAAAUGAGCUCCGUGACACAUCACAGUGCAAGCGCCACAGAAGGUCUAACUCUUAAAAGUUUCCAUGCACUGGCUCUCCUCCCAUGGAUUCAAAGCCAUGUGAUUCAAAGCUAUCCUGUAGAUGCUUCUGUCAUCUGAUAGAUGUGGCUGUCCCUCAGCUGUGACAUCCAUCUGUUAAGCUGGAAGAGGCAAGAGCUGGAGAAGGCAUGACAGGGCCAUUUUCUUACUGACCCUCACUCUACAGAAGCCACGUCAGGAGGAAGAUGAGAGAGAGAAGAUCAGCCAAGAGCCUGACCUCAGGUGAAUAAGUCCUCAAAGGUCUAGCACCUUAGAUGUGUCAUUAAAGAAGGAGAUGCGUCUUGGGACAGAGUCUUCUCUCUGGUACUUCAGGAAGGCCAGACCUUGGAAGUCAGCCAAGAAAAGGGGAUCAGUUGUUGAAGCGCCCAACGUGCUCAGGUUCAAGAGAAUAAGAAAGCAGAGACCACAGUGGCCCACCUGGUUUGCAUAAUGGUCCCUUGGAGAUUCUAGCCCAGCCACUGUGGACACAGGACCCGGGAGUCUGCUGAUCCUCCUCAGUCAUCUCCUGCUUGUAUGAUGUCACGUUUCCAUGGUGUCCUCCUUAGCCACCAAGUGGUAUUUCCUGUGCUUAGGCGUCUGUUGAGAAUGCAGGAGGUAGAAGGUGCAGUCAGAAAGCCAUUGGCUCUGCCCCACAGUCCUGGAGUAAACCUGGCCUGACUGUCUAGCUCCACUCAGUACCAGGGCUCUAUGUUCUGUCAGUUUAGCUGCUGAAGGGACCAUCUAUCGAUCCAUCUGACUUACCGAGAUGGGGAGGAAUCGCAGGUAGCCCUGGUGGACACCGUGGGGGAUCACGGUGGCAAGUUCGUCACGGCCAUCCAGGAUGCCCAGCCACCAGGAACUCUUCUCUCGGAUGGAACAGACCAUCCCCCAGAGCCUGAAGUCUCCAGUAAAGACCACAGAAUCACCAUGCCGUGUUAUCUAAAGCCUAAACCACUUCCCCUGGACCAGAGAAUUGGAGACCCCUUUCUCUGUACCCGGGGAGAGUCUAGGUACGGCUGUUUUCUUAGAUCCAUGCAGUUGUCAGUCCAAGACCAAUCCCCGACUGUCUAUGUGGCUCCAUUGUACCCUCCAGGAGCUGCCGUUUCCUUAUGCAUCACACACAGUAGGACGAGGGAUCUUGAGAGAUGCCAAACAGCAACCGUAUCCAAAGAGUUAAAAAAAAAAAUACUGCUUCCCCAGUUUCUCCUUUCUGGCUAUCUCAUAGUGAGGAGAAUUGUUGCCAGAGUGAGGAGGUGGCAGGGAGGAGAAACUGCCCAGUUACACUGCCACCAGGAGCCAGAAGCAAGGUCGGCAGGUUGGUUAGUUCAAGACUAGUACAAUGGGAUAUUUGCAGAGCCUCUGCCCCCUAGUGGUAGUGAUCUGGAACUGCGUCAGCUGGUAGCUUUCUUAGGAGAGCAUCCAAAGAAGUGGUAGUGUCCACGUCAGAGAGCAUCCUGUGUCAUGUCCACGUCCACACUGGGCAUUUCCCACAGCACUCAGGAUUGUAUUUGUCUUUACCUCAAGUCCGAUUGUUUAGUUCCUUAUGACUCCUCCUCACUCCUGAUGGUGAGUUAAGAAUUUUGAGAAAGUAUGGCUUGUUACCAAGUUUUAGGGGUCAUCUUAUUAGAAGAAUAUUUUUCUUGUUUGCAAGUUAACAUCAGGGAAAGGAGGCCACUUGGUCUGUGUCUUCCCAGCUCACAUCCUGGUGUCUGUUUGCCUAGGAUAGCCCCAAAGCCAGUGUGCCCGAGCCUCAGUCAGUCCUGAGACUGUAACUCUGACCUUGACCUGCAUCUCCCAGGGCCUUGAGUGUCCACCCACUCACACGAUAGUGGUCUGGAGGUCCUCUGGGGAGCACUAGGCUGGGUGGAUAUGCUAAAGAGUCUGAUGAGCCAAGAUGACUCCACCCCUCUUACCCCAGUGCCUGAAGAUCUGACUGUGGCAGCUGCAGGAGAGAUGUCAAGGACGGGGUGGCACAGACAGCUAUUGGAAGCCAGUGUCCCCUUCCGGAAGGGACAUUUGAUAUCCCUCUGAUAUAAAAUCCAGCUUUGCUAUUUGAUACAUACGCCUGUGCUGGAAGCUACAAUGUGAGUUCAGUCAGCUGGCAACCAGCAUCACCCCAAUAUACCAUCACACUUACACAGACACACACACACAC